rnacentral:rRNA from 1 species
CAGUAGCCACGGUAAUACGGAGGGUGCAAGCGUUAAUCGGAAUUACUGGGCGUAAAGCGCACGCAGGCGGUCUGUCAAGUCAGAUGUGAAAUCCCCGGGCUUAACCUGGGAACUGCAUUUGAAACUGGCAGGCUAGAGUCUUGUAGAGGGGGGUAGAAUUCCAGGUGUAGCGGUGAAAUGCGUAGAGAUCUGGAGGAAUACCGGUGGCGAAGGCGGCCCCCUGGACAAAGACUGACGCUCAGGUGCGAAAGCGUGGGGAGCAAACAGGAUUAGAUACCCCUGUAGUCCCUGUCUCUUAUAC